UCAAAAACAUGUCUUUUUGAAAAUAAUUUAAAGUCUAAUCUGCCCACUGAUAAAAUUAUUAAAGGGCUGCAGUAUAUUGACUGUACAAAGGUAGCAUAAUCAUUAGUCUUUUAAUUGAAGACUUGUAUGAAAGAUUUGAUGAAAUAUAUACUGUCUCUAAUUUAUGAAUAAAAAUUAAUUUUUUAGUUAAAAAGCUAAAAUAAUAUUAAAAGACGAGAAGACCCUAUAAAGUUUUAUAAUUUAUUUAUUUAAUAUUAAUUAUAUAAUUAAAUAUAAUAAUUAAUUUAAAUUAUUUUAUUGGGGUGAUAAAAAAAUUUAAUUAACUUUUUUUAAAAAAUAUACAUAAAUAAGUGUGAUAAUGAUCCAUUAUUAAUGAUUAAAAGAAAAAAUUACUUUAGGGAUAACAGCGUAAUAUUUUUUUUUAGUACGAAUAAAAAAAAAAGUUUGCGACCUCGAUGUUGGAUUAAGAUAAAAUUUAAGUGCAAAAGUUUAAAAUUUUGAUCUGUUCGAUCAUUAAAAUCUUACAUGAUCUGAGCU
rnacentral:rRNA from 1 species